AGCAGUCUGAUGGAGCACGCCGCGUGAGUGAAGAAGGGUUUCGGCUCGUAAAGCUCUGUUGGUAGUGAAGAAAGAUAGAGGUAGUAACUGGCCUUUAUUUGACGGUAAUUACUUAGAAAGUCACGGCUAACUACGUGCCAGCAGCCGCGGUAAUACGUAGGUGGCAAGCGUUGUCCGGAUUUAUUGGGCGUAAAGCGAGUGCAGGCGGUUCAAUAAGUCUGAUGUGAAAGCCUUCGGCUCAACCGGAGAAUUGCAUCAGAAACUGUUGAACUUGAGUGCAGAAGAGGAGAGUGGAACUCCAUGUGUAGCGGUGGAAUGCGUAGAUAUAUGGAAGAACACCAGUGGCGAAGGCGGCUCUCUGGUCUGCAACUGACGCUGAGGCUCGAAAGCAUGGGUAGCGAACAGGAUUAGAUACC
rnacentral:rRNA from 1 species